CCUAUCGAAGAUGAAGAAUUGGUCGAGUACAUCCUCACCGGACUUGACAUGGAGUACAACCCCGUCGUCACCUCCAUCCUUUCCAGGAAGGAUUAUGUCUCGGUAAAUGACGCCUACCAACAGCUUCUUGCUUUCGAAA